AUGAACGCUGGCGGCGUGUCUGAGGCAUGCAAGUCGAACGGUCCCGAUGCAAAUCGGGACAGUGGCAGACGGGUGAGUAACACAUUGGAACCUACCUUUGAGACGGGCAUAGCUUUCCGAAAGGAAAGAUAAUUCCCGAUGGUCUCCGAUGAUAUUUAUAUCUAUCGGAGUAAAGGUCAUUCGCAAGAAUGGUCACUCAAAGAGGGGCCUAUGUUCUAUCAGCUAGUUGGUGGGGUAAUGGCCUACCAAGGCAAUGACGGAUAGCGGGUGUGAGAGCACGACCCGCCUCACGGGGACUGAGACACUGCCCCGACUCCUACGGGAGGCUGCAGUCGAGAAUAUUCCUCAAUGGCCGAAAGGCUGAAGGAGCGACGCCGCGUGAAUGAUGAAGCCCUUCGGGGUGUAAAGUUCUUUUAUUAGGGACGAAUCAAUGACGGUACCUAAUGAAUAAGAGGUUGCUAACUCUGU
rnacentral:rRNA from 1 species